GUGACUUAGAGAGAAGAUUGAGAGAGAGGGAGUGGCGUGCUAGAGAGAAGGGGGCUGCUAUUUCUAGAGAGAAGGAGAAGAAGAAGAAAGGAAGAAGAAGAAGGGUUCAAGCUAGGGCUCGUUGAGAGGUUGUGAAUUUACUUAGCUUGGACCUGAGGUAGCAAAUAGGUUUUCCUGUGGCACGCGUGGUGAUGUGAGGAGUUCUAUCGUCAUGGGGUGUAUGGCGUGGGGCAUCCUAUGGACGGAAAAACGAUCACUUAAAGAUGCCAUUUUAAUAAUGUUAUGUUUUAUGAGACUUUUUAAACUUAUCAAUGGGACUUAAAUUAUUGGACUGUUUUUUUAACUUUGCAUAAAAACUUAUAUUUUCUAUUUAAAACUAUCGGGCCCAACUUGCAUUGUUUUAAGCAAGUCCCCACUGAGACCUUUAUAAUAAGUAGUUUUCUUUUAUGAACCAA